UUUCAUUAAGUUGUUUUUUUGUUUGUUUUCUCAAAUAAGGCCUUCCCACAAUCUGUGUGCAUGCAUAAGGUUUCUCUCAGGUGUAAAUUCUCUGGGAUCAAACAAGUUCCUUCAUCUGAAAGGUUUUCCUACACUGUGUGUA